rnacentral:lncRNA from 1 species
CGUCAUUCUCCUGCGUCAGCCUCCCGAGUAGCUGGGACUGCAGGCGCCCGCCACCAUGCCUGGCUAAUUUUUUGUAUGUUUAGUAGAGACGGGGUUUCACCGUGUUAGCCAGGAUGGUCUCUAUCUCCUGACCUUGUGAUCUGCCUGCCUCGGCCUCCCGAAGUGCCGGGAUUACAAGCGUGAGCCACCAUUCCCGGCCCAAAGAGGAGAAGAAGUAUGAAGUGCUUGCUUGGACCUUUCUACUGUGCUUAUUAUUCUGUCUUCUCCUCAUGGCAAGCAUCCAGCAUGUGAAAAAACAACUCAGACCACACAUUUUCCACCUAUGUUCUUCGGGAUGUGCUGGAGAUGAUAUGUGAAGAGAAAGAGACUCAGCUUAAGACCCGACAAUUCCGCUGAGCAAUUCUGGGAAGAGAAUGAAAAACAUUUUGUUGAUGAGAAUCUGUAUUCAUCAGUUUUUGUACAAGACUAAGAACUCGGCAUGCUUUUACAUUGGAAAUUUGGUAAUUAAUAUCAGCAUCCUGAUUUUCCAUUGGGGAGUAAGUCAACCUUCCUUGGAUAGUAGCAUAGGGACCUUUAUUGUACAUAAGUAACCUGGACUUGGACAGAGUCAAUGAAUUUAUCCACGAAUGGGUAUCUGCCUUCAGUCCAGUGAAAAUCAACCAGGUACUUCUGUACAGCCCGAGGGGGAAUAUGUCCUUUUCUCUGCCUGAAGUUGCCCAUGGUCAUGUUUGUGAUUAUACGGGGUAAACUGAGAAUAAAAUAAUCACAUACAAAAGAAGAAUCAAAAAAAUGAGAUAUGAUCUUGAUAACCUAAUUUAAACUCUAAGUAAUUCUCAUAACAGGAUUUAGUGAACAUUCUAACCCUUUUCCAACAACCCAUCCUGCUACAUGCCUUUAUCAUAAAAUAGCUUCAUAUAUAAAAGCGUCAUGUUAAAGUUAGUUUUACUUUUCCACUUAUAUAGAUUUAAAUAUAUUUUAUUGAAUUAUUAAAACUUUACAAAGUUGGGGCUAAUCCUAGCUCUUGUUUAUACAAUUUUAAAA